rnacentral:rRNA from 1 species
UACGAAGGGGGCUAGCGUUGUUCGGAAUUACUGGGCGUAAAGGGCGCGUAGGCGGUUUAACAAGUCAGGUGUGAAAGCCCCGAGCUCAACUCGGGAACUGCGCUUGAUACUGUUAUUCUUGAAUUCGGGAGAGGUGAGUGGAAUUCCCAGUGUAGAGGUGAAAUUCGUAGAUAUUGGGAGGAACACCAGUGGCGAAGGCGGCUCACUGGACCGACAUUGACGCUGAGGCGCGAAAGCGUGGGGAUCAAACAGGAUUAGAUACCCUGGUAGUCCACGCUGUAAACGAUGCAUGCUAGACGCUUGAGGGCUUAGCCCUUGGGUGUCGCAGCUAACGCAAUAAGCAUGCCGCCUGGGGAGUACGGCCGCAAGGUUGAAACUCAAAUGAAUUGACGGGGGCCCGCACAAGCGGUGGAGUAUGUGGUUUAAUUCGACGCAACGCGAAGAACCUUACCAGCUCUUGACAUGUGAAGUAUGGGUCUGAGAGAUCAGAUCCUUCGGUUCGGCCGGCUUCAACACAGGUGCUGCAUGGCUGUCGUCAGCUCGUGUCGUGAGAUGUUGGGUUAAGUCCCGCAACGAGCGCAACCCUCAUCUUCAGUUGCUACCAGGUUAUGCUGGGCACUCUGAAGAAACCGCCGGUGAUAAGCCGGAGGAAGGUGGGGAUGACGUCAAGUCCUCAUGGCCCUUACGGGCUGGGCUACACACGUACUACAAUGGUGGUGACAGUGGGCAGCGAAGGCGCGAGCCGGAGCCAAUCCCCAAAAGCCACCUCAGUUCAGAUUGCACUCUGCAACUCGAGUGCAUGAAGUUGGAAUCGCUAGUAAUCGCGGAUCAGCACGCCGCGGUGAAUACGUUCCCGGGCCU